GUUAUUUUGGCAGAAUAGUGCAAUUGAUUUAGAAUCUUUAUAUAUAGAGAUAUACUAUAAAUAACACAUGGUUUU
rnacentral:tRNA from 1 species